CUGAGUGGAAGAAAGGCUGACCUCACCUGAAGAAAAAGGAACCCUGCCAGAACACUGCCUUUAGACUCCAACUGCAGCUCCCUGAUUCUCCAGCCUGCCAGCCUAACCCAUCAGACUUUGGACUUGCCAAGCCUCCACAAUCAAAAACUUUCAUGUUGACUGACCAGCCUGACUGAAUAUUUGCAUCAUUUUACCAACAAUUUCUUUUCAGACAUGCAGAUGUUUUCAUCACCUCAAACAGAAGCACCAUACCUGUAAACAGUCACUUCUCAUUCCCCACCCUGCAGCCUCUGGAAACUACUCAGCUGCAUUCUGUCAUUCUGGACAUGCCUAUUCUGGACAUUUCAUCGAAAUGGAAUCAUACAAUAUGUGACCCUUCAUGCCUGGCUUCUUAGGAUAACGUUUCCAAGGUUCAUUUGUGUUGUAGCAGUAGCAGUACUUCACUUCUUUUUAUGGCUCUAUAUGACUUUUACAAAUAACAAUCUGUACGUAGCUCUGAUCUUAAAGAUACUGAAACAGAAAAACCUUACCCCUUUGUACAAAUCAUUUUGUAGAAACUCAAUGGCUCAAAGUCCAGUGUCCACAUUAAACUUGUUUAUUUCUAUCUGCAUGUUCUUAACACCCUCUUGAGUAUCUACCCUCCCAGGUCCCAUUUUAAAAUUUGCCCCUUCAAACAGUACUUUCAUUUUCACAUGUCUAUUUGUUAGACUGUUAAUCAUUCACAGAGCAGACCUAGUUAGCUCUUUGCCCAGCUGCAUCUUCCCUGUCUCCUGGCCACUGUUCCCACCUCCAACAUAAAACCACUUUUAUAUC